rnacentral:lncRNA from 1 species
AAUCCAGUGGGCUGUAAUUCUACAGAAGCAUCACUGAAGGACAGAGUGGCACUACCAUACCAAAUCCUGCUUAAAUCAUGGCAGCAAAGUCUGCCGCUAGUCGUGCAUCCAAACCCAAACUCAGUGUCAGAAAUUCGAGAAAGCAAGUGGAAACAUGGGAUAUUCUUUUGGACUUGGUUUUGAACCUGGCACAGUUACUACAACCUAUAUUCCACCAGUUAAGUCCAGUCACAUGCCUAAGAUGAAAGGAAGGGAAAUUCCCUUUACACUGAUGAGGCCAUGGCAAGAGUGAGGAUUCAGAUAGGGCUGAAAACCUAGGGUGAGUAAAAAAGCC